rnacentral:rRNA from 1 species
UACGGAGGGUGCAAGCGUUAUCCGGAUUUACUGGGUUUAAAGGGUGCGUAGGCGGGCUAUUAAGUCAGUGGUGAAAGCCCCAAGCUUAACUUGGGAACUGCCAUUGAUACUGAUGGUCUUGAGCACACUUGAGGUGGGCGGAAUGUGUCAUGUAGCGGUGAAAUGCUUAGAUAUGACACAGAGCACCGAUUGCGAAGGCAGCUCACUAAAUUGUAACUGACGCUGAGGCACGAAAGCGUGGGGAUCAAACAGG